GGAGGAGGAGGAGGAGGAGGAACAGGAACAGGAACAGGAAAGGGAACAGUUGAUCUCAGGUGCCAUGUGCAGUCUUUGGGGGUUUGGGACCCCCAAACAGCAGGAAUAAUACAGUAGAAUUUGAGUAUGUCAAUAUAUGAAAGGGCUAAUGUACAUUAACGGUGCUGUAUGUGAGACUUAAGAGAUAUGAUUGGAGUGUAAAUUGUUAGAAAUGGCAUAGCUAUGGGUCAGCUGUGUGCGCUGUGAGAAUAUCCAAUCAGCUUUUUUCGCUUGAUUGGUUCUGGGAAUCCAUCCUUUGUCAAUCACAGGUGCGUGAUGCAACACUUACAAAGGGCAGAGCAAUGGAGAGAGCGAAGGAGAAAUUAAAGAGUCGUCAUUUGGGUUGUUUAGGUUCAGACUAUUGCUCUCAUCAGCGGUUUUCUGCUCUCUCCCUCUCUCUUUACAACUCUUAAAUCUUCCCUAAGAAAAAUACAGUUUUGAAAGGGAGAUGAUUUGGCUAAAUGGAUGUGGUGAAUGAAACCUAUGUUUCGAAUGUAUUCUAAUAGGGUCUAACCAUCAUAUCUAGGCAAAAAGGUAGAAAGAAAUUAAGAAAGAGGGACAGUGCCUUAAAUGUAAGCGAUCUCAAGGCGACCUAAAUGGAUUUACAUGUUUAUCGUCCGUCCUUCUAAUUAAAAAACAUUAAUUGACUGGCGACUCCUCCAGACACCCGGGACAGUAUUUCAUAGGCUUAACUCAAGUGUCUUAUGUUUCUACAGUAUUGGAAAGCCUGACCACAGCACUUACACAGGAUUACAACGCAUUGAUUAUGCUAUCAAACAGUGCCAAAGACUUAACUAUUCAGAAAACAAAGAACACCUCCCUGACAGCAUGUGUGUGAAUGAAUGGAUGUGUGAGAGAGUGUGUGCAAGGUUGUGUGAGUGUGUGUGUGUGUGUGUGUGUGUUCGCGAGUGAGUCAAUCCCAAUGUUGUACAGCUUGUUGUUCUAACUGUAUCGACCUGAUGACCGCAUUUGUAUUUACUGUUAUUUGUGUUUGUCUAAAUACAUUUUUUU
ensembl:lncRNA